rnacentral:rRNA from 1 species
AUUGAACGCUGGCGGCAGGCCUAACACAUGCAAGUCGAACGAGUGGCGGACUGGUGAGUAGGUUCUUGGCAACUGCCUGACGGAGGGGUCUAACUACUGGAAACGGUAGCUACUACCGCAUACGAUCCUAUCUGCCCAGAUGGGUUUAGCUAGUCGGUGUGGUAACGGCUCAACUAGGCGACGAUGCCUAGCUGGGCUGAGAGGAUGACCAGCAACACUGGAACUGAGACACGGUCCAGACUCCUACGGGAGGCAGCAGUGGGGAAUAUUGCACAAUGGGCGCAAGCCUGAUGCAGCCAGGCCGCGUGUGUGAAGAAGGCCGUCGGGUUGUAAAGUACUGUCAGCGAGGAGGCGUUACUUGAAGAAGAAGCACCGGCUAACUCCGUGCCAGCAGCCGCGGUAAUAC